UGGGGAAUCUUGGACAAUGGGCGCAAGCCUGAUCCAGCCAUGCCGCGUGAGUGAAGAAGGCCUUCGGGUUGUAAAGCUCUUUUACCAGGGACGAUAAUGACGGUACCUGGAGAAUAAGCCCCGGCAAACUUCGUGCCAGCAGCCGCGGUAAUACGAAGGGGGCUAGCGUUGUUCGGAAUUACUGGGCGUAAAGCGCACGUAGGCGGAUUGUUAAGUCAGAGGUGAAAUCCCGGAGCUCAACUUCGGAACUGCCUUUGAUACUGGCAAUCUCGAGUCCGGAAGAGGUUAGUGGAAUUCCCAGUGUAGAGGUGAAAUUCGUAGAUAUUGGGAAGAACACCAGUGGCGAAGGCGGCUAACUGGUCCGGUACUGACGCUGAGGUGCGAAAGCGUGGGGAGCAAACAGGAUUAGAUACCCACGUAGUCCCUGAGCGGGCUGGCAAGGCG
rnacentral:rRNA from 1 species